UACGUAGGGAGCGAGCGUUGUCCGGAUUCAUUGGGCGUAAAGAGCUCGUAGGCGGCUUGGUAAGUCGGAUGUGAAACCUCCAGGCUCAACCUGGAGUCGCCAUCCGAUACUGCCAUGGCUAGAGUCCGGUAGGGGCCCACGGAAUUCCUGGUGUAGCGGUGAAAUGCGCAGAUAUCAGGAGGAACACCGAUGGCGAAGGCGGGUCUCUGGGCCGUUACUGACGCUGAGGAGCGAAAGCGUGGGGAGCGAACAGG
rnacentral:rRNA from 1 species